GCCAGGUAUGGUGGUGCACUCCUGUAAUCCCAGCAACUCGGGAGGCUGAGGUAAGAGGAUCACAAGUUUGAGGCCAGUCUGGGGAAUUUAGCAUGAACUUGUCUCAA
rnacentral:sRNA from 1 species